UAUUAUGUGCUAAAGGUGUCCCAUCUUCCCCACCCUACUAUACCAGUCUAUACAAAAUGUUUGUUUUGGUUUGAUAUGUUUCUAGUUAAAUACAGUGCAAUGCCACCACCAAAAUAGUCGACAUUGUUGCAAAAGUGUUUUAGUAAUUCUGCAUUUUGUGAGAUUGAGACGCGAACAACUGACUAUAGUUUGUAGCCGGGCGUUCAAAUUUUCUCUUACCAAAUAUAUAUUUCGCAUCAAAUGAUCACUUUUAACUAAGUCUUAAAUGGUUUAACAGCCACGCAUUUCUGCUGAACUAUUUUAUUUAUUCUUAGUCUGUUUUAGCGACUGUCGUUUUGCUGUUAAUUUAUCUUUCGCCAUGUUUAUAAAAGACCUCCGUUAUUACGAUUGAAGGGAUAAAACAUAUUUUAAUAUUUAAUACUAUGCUCAGAGUUUUCAAAACAAUGUCCGUUUCAAUGGUCUUUAUACAUACUACAUUUUUUCAAUAUAGUCUUGUGACUGGAACAAUAGUAACAAACAACAAUUAACUCUUUACUUUGUUGCAAUAGCUUUUGCAGAUAGCAAACAUAAUAUUUAUCAUAAAGUUUAACAUGUAAAGACCCGAUACAAUAAACAUAAACAUUGCCGAGUCAAAAUCCACGGAAAUGUUCUUCUUCUUUGAACAAUAUCUUUCGGAAAUCGUGACGGCGCGGACAUUUUCUGUGACUUGGUUAUAUUAGAACUAACAUUAGUUUGCACAGAUGAAUAGAUCAGCGCUUCUCUUGCUUCUCGUCGGACUUGUGGUUCCCGCAAAAGCUUCCAACGCUGUUGAUGAUGAUGGUGUUGUUUGGAGUCGAUAUAAUUGGAGUUGGAAGGGACAAGACGACCAAAAAGUCCUAGAAGACGCAAGUUUGGAAGAGUUACACGAUGCUCUUGAUUUUCUAUACUCUCAAGAAUAGUUAAAUACUAAUUAGACGAUCAAAUACGCAUAAAUGGUUGCCAGUAAAAUAAACCAUCUCGGUAC